GUCUGUGUCCAUGCCACCCUGGACAUGCCUGAUCCUGUCUGAUCUUGGAAACUAAGCAGGGUCGGGUCUGGUUAGUACUUGGAUGGGAGACCUCUAAGUAAGAUCUGGUGCUGUAGGCA
rnacentral:rRNA from 1 species